GAAAUGCGAUAAGUAGUGUGAAUUGCAGAAUUCAGUGAAUCAUCGAAUCUUUGAACGCACAUUGCGCCCUUUGGUAUUCCAAAGGGCAUGCCUGUUCGAGCGUCAUUUGUACCCUCAAGCUUUGCUUGGUGUUGGGCGUCUUGUCUCUAGCUUUGCUGGAGACUCGCCUUAAAGUAAUUGGCAGCCGGCCUACUGGUUUCGGAGCGCAGCACAAGUCGCACUCUUUAUGGUUGACCUCGGAUCAGGUAGGGAUACCCGCUGAACUUAA
rnacentral:misc_RNA from 1 species